rnacentral:rRNA from 1 species
GAGCGCUGAAGGUUGGUACUUGUACCGACUGGAUGAGCAGCGAACGGGUGAGUAACGCGUGGGGAAUCUGCCUUUGAGCGGGGGACAACAUUUGGAAACGAAUGCUAAUACCGCAUAAAAACUUUAAACACAAGUUUUAAGUUUGAAAGAUGCAAUUGCAUCACUCAAAGAUGAUCCCGCGUUGUAUUAGCUAGUUGGUGAGGUAAAGGCUCACCAAGGCGAUGAUACAUAGCCGACCUGAGAGGGUGAUCGGCCACAUUGGGACUGAGACACGGCCCAAACUCCUACGGGAGGCAGCAGUAGGGAAUCUUCGGCAAUGGACGAAAGUCUGACCGAGCAACGCCGCGUGAGUGAAGAAGGUUUUCGGAUCGUAAAACUCUGUUGGUAGAGAAGAACGUUGGUGAGAGUGGAAAGCUCAUCAAGUGACGGUAACUACCCAGAAAGGGACGGCUAACUACGUGCCAGCAGCCGCGGUAAUACGUAGGUCCCGAGCGUUGUCCGGAUUUAUUGGGCGUAAAGCGAGCGCAGGUGGUUUAUUAAGUCUGGUGUAAAA